CCUGACGACCAUAGCGAGUGGGAACCACCUGAACCCAUGCCGAACUCAGAAGUGAAACCACUCAGCGCCGAUGGUAGUGUGGGGCUUCCCCAUGUGAGAGUAGGUCAUCGUCAGGC
rnacentral:rRNA from 1 species